rnacentral:rRNA from 1 species
CCUACGGGAGGCAGCAGUGGGGAAUCUUGCGCAAUGGGGGCAACCCUGACGCAGCCAUGCCGCGUGAAUGAUGAAGGCCUUAGGGUUGUAAAGUUCUUUUGCCCGUGACGAUGAUGACGGUAACGGGAGAAUAAGCUCCGGCUAACUUCGUGCCAGCAGCCGCGGUAAUACGAAGGGGGCUAGCGUUGUUCGGAAUUACUGGGCGUAAAGCGCGCGCAGGCGGUUCGAUAAGUUAGGGGUGAAAUCCCUGGGCUCAACCCAGGAAUGGCCUUUAAGACUGUCGAGCUAGAGGACGAGAGAGGUGAGUGGAAUUCCCAGUGUAGAGGUGAAAUUCGUAGAUAUUGGGAAGAACACCGGUGGCGAAGGCGGCUCACUGGCUCGUUUCUGACGCUGAGGCGCGAAAGCGUGGGGAGCAAACAGGAUUAGAUACCCUGGUAGUCCACGCCCUAAACGAUGAGUGCCAGGUGUCGGGAAGCUUAGCUUCUCGGCGCCGCAGCUAACGCCUUAAGCNCNCCNCNGGAGUCGCGCGAGUAACGUACGAAGAAGUAGACGCGUGAGAGUUGCGAGACGACGACGAGGGAGAGG